AUUGAACGCUGGCGGCAGGCCUAACACAUGCAAGUCGGGCGAGCGGCGGACGGGUGAGUAAUGUAUGGGGAUCUGCCUGAUGGAGGGGGAUAACUACUGGAAACGGUAGCUAAUACCGCAUACCAUAGGAUGAGCCCAAGUGGGAUUAGGUAGUUGGUGAGGUAAAGGCUCACCAAGCCGACGAUCUCUAGCUGGUCUGAGAGGAUGACCAGCGACACUGAGACUGAGGCACGGCCGCGACUCCUACGGAAGGCAGCAGUGGGGAAUAUUGCGCAAUGGAGGAAACCUGACGCAGCCAUAACGCGUGAAUGCAGAAGACCUUCGGGUUGUAAAGUUCUUACGGUAGCGGUGCGUUAACUACAGAAGAGGCACCGGCUAACUCCGUGCCAGCAGCCGCGGUAAUUC
rnacentral:rRNA from 1 species